rnacentral:rRNA from 1 species
UACGUAGGUGACAAGCGUUGUCCGGAUUUACUGGGCGUAAAGAGCGCGCAGGCGGUCGAUCAAGUCGAGUGUGAAAGCCCCCGGCUCAACUGGGGGAGGGUCAUUCGAUACUGAUCGACUCGAAGGCAGGAGAGGGUAGUGGAAUUCCCGGUGUAGUGGUGAAAUGCGUAGAUAUCGGGAGGAACACCAGUGGCGAAGGCGACUACCUGCCUGUUCUUGACGCUGAGGCGCGAAAGCUAGGGAGCAAACGGG